rnacentral:tRNA from 1 species
AUAUUUUAAAGUAAACUACUAUCUUAAUAUCUUCAAUAUUAAACUUUAAAUAAGCUAUUAAAAUA